CGUAAACAACCAUAUUAGCCUCUGAAACCUUGAGCCCCUCCAUUGAAAUGGCAACCGAAACAAGGAGGAGAAGAAUCCACAACAACCAGAGAAGAAAGAGAGCUCGAAGAAGGUAAAAACAGCGAACUUUUAUUACCACGUGUGUUGCAAAUGUUGGCUAAAAUUUAAAGAGAUGCAUAAUGAAACCUGAAAUAGAAACCAAGACUAGCGGGCUUAACUCUCUUUAUAUUGCAUAACCCACACUUCAAUUCCCUUGGAACGUCCAAAACUCCUACCCCAAAAGUCACUUGAUCCAGACCUCCAAAGUUCCAACGAUCACAGCUUGAAUCUUCAUUUACCCACAGCACACUCACCGGACCCGAUGAACUCCGACGAGGGUGGUGGAGGAGGAGAAUCAGCAACGGCGUGAGCAGUCGGCGUAGGCACCCAGUACGGCGAGCGGCAGACGUCGACUCGAACGGUGGUGGUGCAGCGGCCGG
rnacentral:misc_RNA from 1 species